rnacentral:sRNA from 1 species
GCUCCAUAGGGGUAACAUCCCCUAAAAAAAAAUUAGUUUCGGUUAUACUAGUUACAAAAUUGUUGUGUGAAAAAUAAAAUUUUAGUAAAAUUUAAAAUGUGAACAAAAUCAGAAGAGCUCUACACAAAUCGGCACACAUAAUACCUCGUUAAGACUAAUAUAUAUAUAUCGGCCAACGCAAAUACACGGACACUAUGAUGCAACAAUACAGCUAGGAAAGCCCUGUAAACUGAUGUGACGCUCUCCGUAGGAUGGAACAAUUUCUACUUCCACGAAUCACAAGGCGACACUACUUAAUCUGGCGAACAAUCUACUCUGGUACACAGCCAUCCUUGACGGACAGCGUACAGCUUUUGACGGGCUUUCCUAGGUCUUUAUAGCGGUGACAUACUGGAGGUGACAUACAUACACGCAAAUAUUCACGCACUACACAUUCACAAUUUCUCGUUAAAUAACUGGAGGCUAAUGGCGAGACCUUUGGCAUGGCGAACACACAUUUUAAUGUUUGAAA